rnacentral:rRNA from 1 species
AGUGAACGCUGGCGAUAGGCCUAACACAUGCAAGUCGAACGGCAGCACAGGAGAGCUUGCUCUCUGGGUGGCGAGUGGCGGACGGGUGAGGAAUACAUCGGAAUCUACUUUUUCGUGGGGGAUAACGUAGGGAAACUUACGCUAAUACCGCAUACGACCUACGGGUGAAAGCAGGGGAUCUUCGGACCUUGCGCGAUUGAAUGAGCCGAUGUCGGAUUAGCUAGUUGGCGGGGUAAAGGCGCACCAAGGCGACGAUCCGUAGCUGGUCUGAGAGUAUGAUCAGCCACACUGGAACUGAGACACGGUCCAGACUCCUACGGGAGGCAGCAGUGGGGAAUAUUGGACAAUGGGCGCAAGCCUGAUCCAGCCAUACCGCGUGGGUGAAGAAGGCCUUCGGGUUGUAAAGCCCUUUUGUUGGGAAAGAAAUCCAGCUGGUUAAUACCCGGUUGGGAUGACGGUACCCAAAGAAUAAGCACCGGCUAACUUCGUGCCAGCCGCCGCGGUAA